CGACUAUGUAUACUCCCUUGUACCCAGUUCUUUUUAAGUAACAACCACGUUUUCAAAUUUGUACCACAUGCCAAACCAUAUUGCAAGCCUUGUGACUGUGAACCUUGUGACUGUGCUCUGGGAUAACACUUCCAGUGGGGAAUUAACUUUGCACAUAACCAAGAAGCAGAUACAAUUGCUUUGUUUGAGUUUGAAAAUAUUUCAUAAUUUGGGUUUCCCUUUUGAGCUACAUGACUCCUCUUUCUCAUGACGAUUCCAAGGAAAUUGUGGAAUUGUUGUUCCUCAAGUGGCCUACCAAUGUGUUCGCGACAGCUAUGCAGUAGCUUUGUGAGAUGGUCCGCUAUAUUUCUGAGCUUGAAAGCCAAUGUAGAAAGCUCCCAAGCAUCAUUAGAGGUGAAGAUUCUGAAACAAUAUUGAUAUAUCAUUUGUCUAUCAUGUUAAACUUUGGAAAUUUGUAACUCACAUGACCAUCACAUGCUUUGGUAUAAAGAAAAUUUAUAAUCCCGAAGUUUUUUCUA